ensembl:miRNA
UGUACAUGCACAUAUAUGUGUGUAUGUAUGUAUGUAUGUGUGUGUGUGUGUGUGUGUAUAUAUAUAUGUGUGUAUGUAUAUACACACACACACACACAUAUAUAUAUAUAUAUACA